rnacentral:rRNA from 1 species
UACAGAGGGGGCAAGCGUUGUUCGGAAUUACUGGGCGUAAAGGGCGCGUAGGCGGCCUGCUAAGUCGAACGUGAAAUCCCUGGGCUCAACCCAGGAACUGCGUCCGAUACUGGUUGGCUUGAAUCCGGGAGGGGUGAUUGGAACUCCAGGUGUAGCGGUGAAAUGCGUAGAUAUCUGGAGGAACACCGGAGGCGAAGGCGAAUCACUGGACCGCUUCUGACGCUGAGGCGCGAAAGCUAGGGGAGCAAACAGG